rnacentral:rRNA from 1 species
AGCGAACGCUGGCGGCAUGCCUAACACAUGCAAGUCGAACGGAAGCACCGUGAGUGCUUGCUCUUAUGGGUGGCGAGUGGCGGACGGGUCACGUAUAUAUCGUAAUCUACUCUUUCGUGGGGGAUAACGUAGGUAAACUUACUCUCAUACCGCAUACGACCCACGGGUGUAAGCAGGGGAUCUUUUGACCUUGUGGGAUUGAAUGAGCCGAUGUCGGAUUAGCUAGUUGGCUGGUUAAAGGCCAAGCACGGCGACGAUCGGUAGCUGGUCUGAGUGGAUGGUCAGCCACACGGGAAGUGAGACACGGUCCAGACGCCUGCGGGAGGCACCAGUGGGGAAUAUUAGGCAAUGGUGGGGAGCCUGAUCCAGCCAUACGGCGUGGGUGGAGAAGGCGUUCGGGUUGGAAAGCCCUUUUGUUGGGAGAGAAACGCAGCAGGUUAAUACGACGCGGUACUGACGGUACCGGAAGAAUAAGCACCGGCUAACUUCGUG